GUCUUUUUGAGUUAUUUUUAAAGUCUGACCUGCCCACUGAAGUUAUUUAAAUGGCCGCAGUAUUCUAACUGUGCAAAGGUAGCAUAAUCAUUAGUCUUUUAAUUGAAGGCUGGUAUGAACGGUUGGACGAGGUAUAAGCUGUUUCAUAUAAAUUUAUAAUAGAAUUUUAUAUUUUAGUCAAAAAGCUAAAAUUUAAUUAAAAGACGAGAAGACCCUAUAAAUCUUUAUACUUUACAUUGUUUAAAUUUUUUAGAUUAAUUUUAUUUUUAUAAUUUAAAGUAUUUUGUUGGGGUGAUAUUAAAAUUUAAUGAACUUUUAAUUAUUUAAAAUCAUUAAUUUAUGAGUUAUUGAUCCAUUAGUAGUGAUUAUAAGAUUAAGUUACUUUAGGGAUAACAGCGUAAUUUUUUUGGAGAGUUCAUAUCGAUAAAAAAGUUUGCGACCUCGAUGUUGGAUUAAGAUAUAUUUUUAGGUGUAGCCGCUUAAAUGUGAAGUCUGUUCGACUUUUAAAUUCUU
rnacentral:rRNA from 1 species